rnacentral:snoRNA from 1 species
CCUGUCAUUGAUGAUGAUCUUAUAUUAUAUAUUCUUGGAGGACUUGGAGAAGAAUAUGAUGUUGUGGUUUUCUUCGUCACUUAUAGAGCGGAAUUAAUUUCCUCGUUCGAUCUUUAUGGCUUGAUUUUAAGUCAUGAGU